rnacentral:rRNA from 1 species
UACAGAGGUCCCAAGCGUUGUUCGGAUUCAUUGGGCGUAAAGGGUGCGUAGGCGGCGCGGUAAGUCGGGUGUGAAAUCUUGGAGCUUAACUCCGAAAACUGCAUUCGAUACUGCCGUGCUUGAGGACUGGAGAGGAGACUGGAAUUUACGGUGUAGCGGUGAAAUGCGUAGAUAUCGUAAGGAAGACCAGUGGCGAAGGCGGGUCUCUGGACAGUUCCUGACGCUGAGGCACGAAGGCCAGGGGAGCAAACGGG